AUUCUCGUAUUUGUUCCUAUGGUUUAUAAUAAUGAUUCAUCGAUCAGCAACGAUGGGCGCAUUGUAAACCAGCAAAAGGGCAAGCUGAGAACUGACGGCGACAAAAGUAUCAGAGUACGGGGUGGCAGAUCUGCCAAAAUGUCAAACUGGUAUACAAUCUUACAAUUGCUAGUUAUAAGUCAACGUGGAUUAUGGAUUUUCAAUUUCCUCUGCACGUCAAAGACUGGAAACAAUUGGCAAUAAAUGACUCAUGACGUUCAUCAUGUUUUGCUGCCAAAUGAUAUUCAGUAUUCACAGCUGCAAAUUUUAUUAGAGAAAAUUCAAGACAAGUGUAAUGUGUGUUUAAGAAUCAUAGGGUGAUCUCCUUAGUAAGAAAUAUUUUCUGUCUGCUGUCAGUAAACGCCAAACGCAUGCACCGCAUGAAUACACAUGGCUGUGCUAGUAUGUCAUUUUUUAUAAUUGACAUAAACAAUUGUAUAAUAAAAAGUUUUGCACUGCUCUUACACAUAUGGUUGAUUUGGAAUAUUCUUUGUCAAUCGGGAAUUAAAACGCCUAGAGAAGUCUCACAUUAAAAGGGGCCAAUACAACACGCUUAUUUACAUCUUAAGAUUGACUUCGUAAGUUAUAUAAAAAGAAAAUUUCCCUUUACAUCGAAAGUGAAUAUGACGAAAAAAAUAAUAGUGAUAAGAAAUAAUGCAAUGAUUUUUAUUAUAGAAAAGUUAUUCUUCUGCUGAUUGAAGACUUUACAUUCCAGCGAGAUAUAAUAUACAAGCAUACGCUACUGUAACAGCUUUAAUUCAAACGUAGCUAUAUUAAUACAGUGGUCAAUAAUUCAUUAAACUAUGCAGUGAAAAACUGCUGGUGGAACUCGAAAGAUUUAGAAAGAUAACAUAAAUUUAAGCGAAAAAGUUUCUUUCAUACCUUCAUAUGGCCGUAAAGUUAUGAAAACUUCUUGGUUAAUAAACUUCCUGGGGCUCUAGCAUGAUUAGCAAGACUUUUGAAACUACACUUGUCGACUGAAGCGAAACAGACACGAAUAAAAUCAUUUGCAUACCA